CAGGUAGCUCAAUCGGCAGAGCGCAAGACUGAAAAUCUUGAGGUCGUUAGAUCAAAACUAACCCUG
rnacentral:tRNA from 1 species